UUUGGGAUAGCCCAGAGAAAUUUGGAUUAAUAUCAGAUAGUAUAUAGGACUGGCAUCAGUUUUAUAUUAAAGGUUACGGUACAAGAUGGGCAUGCGUUUUAUUAGUUAGUUGGUAAGGGAACGGCUUACCAAGACUACGAUAAAUAGGGGUCCUGAGAGGGAGAUCCCCCACACUGGUACUGAGACACGGACCAGACUCCUACGGGAGGCAGCAGUGAGGAAUAUUGGACAAUGGGCGCGAGCCUGAUCCAGCCAUGCCGCGUGCAGGAAGACGGCCCUAUGGGUCUUAAACUGCUUUUAUACGGGAAGAAACCUCCCCACGUGUGGGGAGCUGACGGUACCGUAAGAAUAAGGACCGGCUAACUCCGUGCCAGCAGCCGCGGUAAUACGGAGGGUCCGAGCGUUAUCCGGAAUUAUUGGGUUUAAAGGGUCCGUAGGCGGGCCAUUAAGUCAGUGGUGAAAGGUUGCAGCUCAACUGUAAAAUUUGCCUUUGAUACUGAUGGUCUUGAGUUAUGGUGAAGUUGCCGGAAUAUGUAGUGUAGCGGUGAAAUGCAUAGAUAUUACAUAGAACACCGAUUGCGAAGGCAGGUGACUAACCAUAUACUGACGCUGAUGGACGAAAGCGUGGGGAGCGAACAGGAUUAGAUACCCUGGUAGUCCACGCCGUAAACGAUGGAUACUAGCUGUUGGACUUUCGGGUUCAGUGGCUGAGCGAAAGUGAUAAGUAUCCCACCUGGGGAGUACGUUCGCAAGAAUGAAACUCAAGGGAAUUGACGGGGGCCCGCACAAGCGGUGGAGCAUGUGGUUUAAUUCGAUGAUACGCGAGGAACCUUACCAGGGCUUAAAUGCAUAUUGACAGGGUCAGAGAUGACUUUUCCUUCGGGCAAUUUGCAAGGUGCUGCAUGGUUGUCGUCAGCUCGUGCCGUGAGGUGUCAGGUUAAGUCCUAUAACGAGCGCAACCCCUGCCGUUAGUUGCCAGCAUGUAAAGAUGGGGACUCUAACGGGACUGCAGGUGCAAACCGUGAGGAAGGUGGGGAUGACGUCAAAUCAUCACGGCCCUUACGUCCUGGGCCACACACGUGCUACAAUGGCCGGUACAGAGAGCAGCCAUGUUGCAAGACAGAGCGAAUCUAUAAAACCGGUCACAGUUCGGAUCGGGGUCUGCAACUCGACCCCGUGAAGCUGAAUCGCUAGUAAUCGGAUAUCAGCCAUGAUCCGGUGAAUACGUUCCCGGGCCUUGU
rnacentral:rRNA from 1 species